UGGUAGAGAGCCACGGUACAGUAAGACACGCCCCGGGCCCUCAAGGGGCUCACCAGCUAGUGAGCAUCAGAGACAAGAGAACAGUAUUAUUAGUAAUAAUAUAGCAACUGGUCCCCAAGGAGGACUUCGUUUCAAUUUGGAGGAGGAGGAAAUGCUUCCCAGGAGUGAUGUCUGGUACUGGUAUUGGGCCCUGAACGGUAUCUUGAGACAGGUGAAGAACAACUCUCCAAAAGGAACAAGAAAAGGGAGUUAAACGGAUACACUUCAGCACUCAGCACCUGCACAUCAGAAUACACAGUUCCUCAGGAAGCGAGCUUCUCUGCAGCAAGGCUAUAUCACCAACCGGACACCAACAUCAUCUGACGGCAAGUAAAUCACCACAGCAGCCAUGGGCCCUGACAGACAAAUGCUCUGUCUCAGAAAAUCCAGGCCUAUCACUCAGAAGGGGAAAAAGGUUCUCUCAGCUGGUCUCGCAGAGAAGAGAUUAAAUGUUGCAGAUUUUGUAAGCAGCAACAGUGCAUUAUCCCAACCUUAAUCAGAGCCAACAGUACAAGAACAAUGUCCUGCUACCUAUCAAAUGGGGACUACUUUAGCAAGAGCUGUUCUUUUAUAAUGAAGACUGUGUAAUAAAAGAUACCACUAAUA